CCCUUAGAUGUCCUGGGCCGCACGCGCGCUACAAUGAUAAAUUCAGAAUGUUUUUCCUGCCCUGGAAAGGUGUGGGUAAUCAUUAUAGUAUUUAUCGUGUUAGGGAUCGAUCUUUGCAAUUAUAGAUCUUGAACGAGGAAUGCCUAGUAAGUGCAGCUCAUCAGGCUGUACUGAUUACGUCCCUGCCCUUUGUACACACCGCCCGUCGCUCCUACCGAUUUCGAGUGUUCAGGUGAAUCUUCUGGACUGAGUCGCAAGACCCGGGAAGUUAGAUAAAUCUUAACACUUAGAGGAAGGAGAAGUCGUANCA
rnacentral:rRNA from 1 species